UCCCGAGGACGGAAGAGGCGGUGCCCAGGGAGCCAUCCUCCUCAGCUAUUGGAGGUAGACUUGGAGCGGAGCGGAAGAGGGAAGGUGACCGGCGCUGAUGGGGCCUUUAGAGUUGGUCCACUUCUUCCGUUUAGGGACGGGACUCAGGCAGCCAGGAUGGGCGGCGACCUGCACUGGGCACAGCUAGGCUGAGGAGAGCCCCUGGCAUCUUUGCGCAGUGGCCCCCAGAAAUGUCUCUCCGGAGCUGUCGACUCAGUAUCCAACCACUUCCUUUGCUGUCGACUUGGAUUGAAAUCACAACAGAUUUUUAUUGCACGUCCUCUGUAUGCCAGGCAUCUUGAUUGGGUGCCGUGGAUGCAGUGGUGAUGGGCAAGGUUCCUGCCUUUAGGGUGCUCACAGUAUAGUGGGGGAAACUAAGCCGAUCAAAUAAACAUGCCAGUCUUACUAAUAAACGUAAAAUCUCAAACGGAAAGGAAUGGUCUGGACUUAUCGGAACUUUAAAAAGAAAGAGGACUGCCCUGGACUGGUCUGGACUUGAGCUGAACUCUAAAGCCUGAGUAGAAUUAACUAGGUCGAUGUCAGGGGAGGAAAACCUCCAGGAGUGUUCCAGCGUGGAGAACAGAAGGUGUAGGGGCUCUGGGUGAGAGAACAUGCUGGAUCACCAACAGAGGUAGAUAGAACUCGGAGAGCGGAGGGCCUGGUAAGAGAUGAGGCUAGAAAGGUGGACAGGGGCCAAAUUAUGCCACAUGAGCCAGGUAAGAAUUUCAGUCUCUGUUCCAAGAGCAAUGGGAGGCAUUUGAAGGGUUUUGGUAGGGGGCGACAUUAUUAGAACUAUGUUUUAAAAUGUCCUUUCUGGCUGCAGUGUGGAGAAUGGUUUGGAGGGGAACAAGGAAGAGGUUAGGGAGAACACUGGAGCCUGUUACAAAAGCCACGGGCAGAAAUGGAGUGAAGUGGAUGUCCCCGGGUAUCUAAACCACACUUCCAAAAUUGAACUGGCAGAGUAUGGUGGUGUAGCCUGGUGUUUAAGGGCAGAAUGAUGUAAAGGUUAAAUGGGUUGAGUUCGAUUGCCCGCGUUGUUUUCAUGUUCUACUUCCUCGUUGUGUGUCUGGGCAAGUCCCUUAACAUCUUUGUGCCUCAGUUUCCUCAUCUGUAAAAUGAGGAUAAUAAAUCCGCCUCAUAGGGUUGUAAUAAAGACUAAAUGAAUUCUUGGCACAGUGCCUCGUUCCCUAAAACAGGUUCUCCCCUGUGUCCCCCAUCUCGUAUGUACUACUGCUGAAGAGGAAUUUCCCAUUCAAAUGGCUAACCUCGUAAUCAUCUCUUUGUUCUGCUUCUGUUGACAUGCUUGCCGCAUAGGCUGAAGGGCAGAGUGACCUCAAGAUCAACUGAAGACUCACACUCCCUUUUGCUUGUUCUGUCUAGAUAACAGAUGUGUUGCCUAAGUUCCUAUCUGAAAAUCUCAUGCUCUGUAACUGCCCGUAGCCCAUAGCAACUCUCGUGCUCUGUAACCACCUCAGGAUGAAUUUACCAGUCGGCCUAUGCCACCUGUAACUGCCAACUGUAACUGCGCUAUAAAAGUAAGGUUACCCCUGAGCUUGAGGCCCAGAUCUUCAGAGCCCUAGCUCUUUUGGGACCGCUGGCAUAAAAAACCUGAGUUCUCCAACUCUCGGAGUGGUGCUUGGUUUCUCGCCCAUCUGAUUUUUCUGCAACACUGCCACCCACUGAAACGCCCAAGCAAGAAAACUUAGACAUUGUGCUCACUUCUCUUCUACUUCUAGUCACCAUAUUUGGAUUUGUCUCCCUUCUAAGCUGAUGUUACAACCCCACAUUCUUCCACUACCACCCAUCACUUGUCACCUGCACCUGCUGCUUCUCUGGCCUUGGCUUAAUUGUACAGUUCAACCUAUAGACAGCCCUGAGCCCCUGCAAUAUACCAGGCACUAUCUCAGGGCACUGACAAAAUGAGGAGAAAUGAGACAGCCCCGGUCCUCAAAGGAAUCCUGUGGAAAUGGAGAGACCCUCCCAUCACCAGGCUGUGUGGGUAGGGCACUUCCCCUCCCUGGAAUUCAGUUUCCCCAAACUGUAAAAGUUUGGGACCAAAUGAUCUCUUAAGGUCCUUUCAGCAAAAAUAUUUUAAGAUUCUUCCACUGGACCCAGCUCCUCCAGGGCAGAAACAGUAUAGUGAUUCAUCUUUGAUCCUUAGUUUGUGGUAAGGAGCUUUGUACCAUACACAGUAGGGGUUUGGUAAGUGCUUGAAUGAACAAAUAAAGGAAUGAGUGAACAAAUGAA